rnacentral:rRNA from 1 species
CAGAGGGUGCAAGCGUUAAUCGGAAUUACUGGGCGUAAAGCGAGCGUAGUCGGUUAUUUAAGUCGGAUGUGAAAUCCCCGGGCUCAACCUGGGAAUUGCAUUCGAUACUGGAUAGCUAGAGUUCGGCAGAGGGAAGCGGAAUUUCUGGUGUAGCGGUGAAAUGCGUAGAAAUCAGAAGGAACAUCAGUGGCGAAAGCGGCUUCCUGGACCAGAACUGACGAUCAGGCUCGAAAGCGUGGGGAGCAAACAGGAUUAGAUACCCUGGUAGUCCACGCCAUAAACGAUGACAACUAGACGUUGGGGACAUAUGGUCCACAGUGUCGCAGCUAACGCGUUAAGUUGUCCGCCUGGGGAGUACGGCCGCAAGGUUG